rnacentral:lncRNA from 1 species
GGGGACCUACUUAAUACCUUUUACCAAGACACAGUAGACCUGUUAUGUGUGGACAACAAAACAUUAAAUUACAAGCUGCCACAUUAUUUUGUCAAUAAUUUACCUUCCCCACAUUCUGUAUGUUUUGUCUGUUUAAUAUAGUUCACCCUUUUAUUUUGUAAAAAGAGCCUUAUUUUGGAAGGAAGAAAAGGACUUAUUGUGAAAUUAUAUUAUCAUAUGGUCUCUAUGCAAAGUAAUUUUAGCAGACAGGACCACCACCAC